GGUAAAAUGGCUGAAGGUUAAGCGGUGGAUUGUAGCUCCAUGUAUAGAGGUUUAAGUCCUCUUUUUAUCA
rnacentral:tRNA from 1 species